CUAAAGAUGGCGCCGACAUCCGGUGGUCGUUUGUGGUAAACACCUACAGAGCAUGUGUUGGCAGACCCCCAGCACCUACAAGGCCAGGGUGAUAUUCAUGCUAAAUAGGUAUUUCAUGCUCCACCAAUCCCCAGUGGACAAAUUUACAGCCACAGCCUGUCUUGUAUUUAAGGCGAGUGCCUUUGUUCCCCGGGGUCCCUGUACUAUCAAUGAGGUGUUCCUACAAUAAAGGCUGAUUGAGAAGGAUCCAACGGUGUUGCGUCUUCCUUGCCGGUCAAGGUGGGCGCGACAACUGGUGGCCUGUACGGGGACCCGAGAAAAUUAUCUUUUCUCGUCUGGAUCCAGAACUUUUUCAGCCUCAGGACGGUCGACGACGCAGCCAGUUCCUGCUCCUGUGGUCAAAAUGCCCUAGGUUGGGGGACAGAGAAGCCCCUCGGACUACAAAACUGCCAACAGCCAAAGGACGAGAUAAAAAUAAUAAGGACUUGAAGAUCCGAUCCUUCUCCUGAUUUAGUAGCUCUGUUCCAAGAACCAGGGGCCAUAAAACCUUUUGGCCCUUAUCUCCUGGAGCCAUAAAACAGGGAUGUAUUGGGGUAAGAUGGGCUAGAAAAGGCCUCGAUGAUUUGGGCUAGCAUGAGUAAACUUGUAAUAAAAAAGAGACAAGGUAAUGAUAAAGUGUUUUUGUGUAUACAUUCUUUUAGAGUUAUGUUUUAGUUUUUAGACCCUGAUUAGAGACAGUUUACACCCUAGACAUGAGAGAGAAUGGGUUUGGGAAAAACAGUCCUCCCAGACUCUCCACAGAUGCUUUGGAGAAAGAGAAAAACUUUCAGAGCUCUCCUGAGAACAGAAGAAAGGUAGGAGACGUCCUGCCUCUCUGCUGGCUCCUAUUGGAGAAAUGCUUAUUCCUGGUUCUGGGUUCCAUAGGUAAGAUAUCUGGGUCCCUUCGGUGGGACACCAUCUAGUUUUUCCCUCUAUGUCUAUUGUCUGUCCUUGGUGCACCAAGCUGUUCAUGUCUGUCAGUUUAUGUCUGUGGUUUUUGUUUCUCAUUGUUUAAAUGUUUUAUGUUUCAUGUUCAAAAGAAAAAAUGGUAAAAACUUUAUCUGCCGGUCAUUCACACCUUGAUUUGGUCUUAACUCGUUUCUGAAAAGAGAACAAAUAAAUAAA